AUUGAACGCUGGCGGCAUGCCUUACACAUGCAAGUCGAACGGUAACGCGCUUUCGGGUUCCGCUGAGUGGCGGACGGGUGCGUAAUACAUCGGAACGUGCCCGAUCGUGGGGGUUAACGAGGCGUAAGGUUUGCUAAUACACCAUACGAUCUAAGGCUGACAGCGGGGGAACGCAAGGGAUUGUGCGGCCGGGGGGGCCUGUAGCAGCCGAUGUCGUAUUAGGUAGUUGGGGGGGUAAAGCCCUACCAAGGCGACGGUCCGUAGCUGGUCUGAGAGGACGAUCAGCCACACUGGGACUGAGACACGGCCCAGACUCCUACGGGAGGCAGCAGUGGGGAAUUUUGGACAAUGGGCGCAAGCCUGAUCCAGCCAUGCCGCGUGCAGGAUGAAGGCCUUCGGGUUGUAAACUGCUUUUGUACGGAACGAAAAGCCUUCGUUUAAUACAGGAGGGUCAUGACGGUACCGUAAGAAUAAGCACCGGCUAACUACGUG
rnacentral:rRNA from 1 species